rnacentral:lncRNA from 1 species
CAAACCACUAUUCUAUUAUUAUUAACCAAGAUCUCUCUCAGACUCAGCCAACUACUUCAACAACUCUAUUGGGCCUUCUACUUUUGCAACAACGUACAUCUUUUAGUAUCGAGGUGCUCAAUGUCAGAACUUAUAUUAUGCUAUAUUUUCUCGUCAUGAGCAGGAGCUCCCCAAAUAUUGUCACUGGUAUUAUUCAUGUCUUUCAUCUUGAUGCCUAUGUGUUGUUAGAUUCGGG